UACGGAGGGGGCUAGCGUUGUUCGGAAUUACUGGGCGUAAAGCGCACGUAGGCGGCUUUGUAAGUUAGAGGUGAAAGCCCGGGGCUCAACUCCGGAAUUGCCUUUAAGGCUGCAUCGCUAGAAUUGUGGAGAGGUAAGUGGAAUUCCGAGUGUAGAGGUGAAAUUCGUAGAUAUUCGGAAGAACACCAGUGGCGAAGGCGACUUACUGGACACAUAUUGACGCUGAGGUGCGAAAGCGUGGGGAGCAAACAGG
rnacentral:rRNA from 1 species